rnacentral:rRNA from 1 species
UACAGAGACUGCAAGCGUUAUUCGGAUUCACUGGGCGUAAAGGGUGCGCAGGCGGCCGUGUGUGUUGGGCGUGAAAGCCCGGGGCUUAACCCCGGAAUUGCACCUCAAACUACAUGGCUAGAGCAUUGGAGAGGGUAGCAGAAUUCACGGUGUAGCAGUGAAAUGCGUAGAUAUCGUGAGGAAUACCAGAGGCGAAGGCGGCUACCUGGACAAUUGCUGACGCUCAGGCACGAAAGCGUGGGGAGCAAAAGGG